AGUGAACGCUGGCGGUAGGCCUAACACAUGCAAGUCGAACGGCAGCACAGGAGAGCUUGCCCUCUGGGUGGCGAGUGGCGAACGGGUGAGGAAUACAUCGGAAUCUACUCUGUCGUGGGGGAUCACGUAGGGAAACUUACGCUAAUACCGCAUACGACCUACGGGUGAACGCAGGGGACCUUCGGGCCUUGCGCGGUUGAAUGCGCCGAUGUGGGAUUAGCUAGUUGGCGGGGUAAAGGCCCACCAAGGCGACGCUCCGUAGCUGGUCUGAGAGGAUGAUCAGCCACACUGGAACUGAGACACGGUCCAGACUCCUACGGGAGGCAGCAGUGGGGAAUAUUGGACAAUGGGCGCAAGCCUGAUCCAGCCAUACCGCGUGGGUGAAGAAGGCCUUCGGGUUGUAAAGCCCUUUUGUUGGGAAAGAAAUCCAGCUGGCUAAUACCCGGUUGGGAUGACGGUACCCAAAGAAUAAGCACCGGCUAACUUCGUGCCAGCCGCCGCCGUAA
rnacentral:rRNA from 1 species